AGCUUGUUCUGCCAGUUAUAUAUAUGAAUACACCCAAUCUGGCAUUUCAUUGUCAGUCACAAUGAAUUGUAAAAUUAUAGCUCGUGGUUUGUUCCUGCUGUUUCUCGUUUCCUUACUGGCACAGAAUGCUCUUGCUGCUGAUGAGUUCCCUAUGACUCAGGCUGAAAUCGGAAUUCUUGUUAUGAGUGCUGUUAUCUGUGGCUUGGGGCUCUUGUUCUUCUUAGGAUCGAUGAUACUCUUCUCACGUUCUAAUUGACGACCAUAUGAAAGAAAUGGACCUCCAACUUUCAGACCUCAUUUACAUGUGCCCACCUAGGAAAAGCUGGCUUCCUGACAGAAAUAUUAACAGAUUUGCUAUCAGUGUUGCCCCUGAAGCUCCAACAGCAUCCUGCAACCAAAUCGCUUCCUCUGUUAAAGAAUUCAUAUUUAUUUUUUUGUAGUUGACUGCUGGGUGGUUACACAAUGUUUGUUCCAUCUUGGCUCUAAACGAAUCGACUGUGCCUGAUGUUUUAUAAAGAAACUCUUUAGCCACGAGAAAUGUAUUUGUAUUUAUUUCUGGAAAACAAAAAUCUAUCUAAUAAAAUAUUUUAAAAAUGAA